AAAAGUUUUAAUUAAGGAAAAAACCUUGACGUGGACUUAUAGACAGACAUCCGCGGUACUUUGGCUACAAUCGUAUAAAAGAGAGGCUGCGCCACAAUUGGAAAUAAAUAAGUGGGAAACCUACUGCGAACUUGAUAUUCUGAUCAGAAGGAGUUGUUCAGGCAGGAAUUUGACGUGAAAUGAAUUUGAAGUCCCUCUUUCUGGCGGUGGUCCUCUUCGUGGGAGUUUUGAUCAUGCAGGUGGACCAGGUAGAGGGACAAGACCCCAAUGCAUGCGUGUGGACUCGGUGCGGGAACCCGUGGCCAAAAUGCGAUGAACACCGCUACGAGGCGAAUAUUGAACGGUGCGGAUUUCCAAAUAGGAAGAGGCGGUAUUGUUGUUUGAACUAAGAAAUUAGUAUAUGGUGGAGGAUGAGGUGAUAUAUUUAUGUAGGAAGGAUGAAAUUUGGGAAGAAUAAAGCCCUUCAUUGAAAAGCGA